rnacentral:rRNA from 1 species
GAGGGGAUCGCCACAUUGGAACUGAGACACGGUCCAAACUCCUACGGGAGGCAGCAGUGGGGAAUAUUGCACAAUGGGCGAAAGCCUGAUGCAGCAACGCCGCGUGCGUGAUGAAGGCCUUCGGGUCGUAAAACUCUGUCCUCAAGGAAGAUAAUGACGGUACUUGAGGAGGAAGCCCCGGCUAACUACGUGCCAGCAGCCGCGGUAAUACGUAGGGGGCUAGCGUAUCCGGA